CAUAUCAAUAAGCGGAGGAAAAGACAGACCAACCGGGAUUGCCCCCAGUAACGGCGAGUGAAGCGGCAACAGCUCAAAUUUGAAAUCUGGGGUCCUUUGGGCCUCCGAGUUGUAGUUUGCAGAGGGAGCCUCGGAGGGCGUGCCGGCCCAAGUGCCUUGGAACAGGAUACCGCAGAGGGUGAGAGUCCCGUAUCCGGCCGGUGGCGCGCUCCGUGUGAGGCCUCUUCGACGAGUCGAGUUGUUUGGGAAUGCAGCUCCAAGCGGGUGGUAAAUUCCAUCUAAAGCUAAAUACUGGCCAGAGACCGAUAGCGAACAAGUAGAGUGAUCGAAAGAUGAAAAGCACUUUGAAAAGAGAGUCAAACAGUACGUGAAAUUGUUGAAAGGGAAGCGCAUGGGGGCAGACUUGGCCGCGGGGUUCAGGGUGCGUUCUCGCGCCUGCACUUCCCCGCGGACAGGCCAGCAUCGGUUCUGGGGGCCGGACAAAGGGGCCGGGAAGGUAGCCGCCUUCGGGCGGUGUUAUAGCCCGGCGCGCAAUGCGGCCACCUGGGACCGAGGACCGCGCUUCGGCAAGGAUGCUGGCGUAAUGGCCUCAUGCGGCCCGUCUUGAAACACGGACCAAGGAGUCUAACAUCUAUGCGAGUGUUUGGGUGGCAAGCCCGGGCGCGCAAUGAAAGUGAACGGAGGUGGGAGCUGUCGUAGGCGCACCAUCGACCGAUCCGGACGUUUUCCGAAGGAUUUGAGUAGGAGCAUAGCUGUUGGGACCCGAAAGAUGGUGAACUAUGCGUGAAUAGGGGUGAAGCCAGAGGAAACUCUGGUGGAGGCUCGCAGCGGUUCUGACGUGCAAAUCGAUCGUCAAAUUUGCGUAUAGGGGCGAAAGACUAAUCGAACCAUCUAGUAGCUGGUUCUGC
rnacentral:rRNA from 1 species